ensembl:lncRNA
UGAAUAUUGGAGUUCCAAAGGAAUCAAUCAAUCAAAAUCAAUUGAUAAGUGGAUAAACUCUUCCUGUAUUUUGUGUUUCCAGGAGUUGACGGGGAGCCGGCCAGGCAGCCAUGUUUGAGCCUGGGGAUCUGUGUUUUUCCAGCUUUACUCGUCCUCUGCUUCGUCUUCGUCGUUGGAUUCUUCUCGUGCUCAGGUAAAGCAGCCGUUUGCUGCUGUAAUCCAGUGAGAAGCAUCACAAAUCAGAGGGUCACAGAGGAAUUGUCUUUGCACUAUUCUACUCUGAAGCAUGCAGACAAGCUCCGCCCUUCUGGCCAAGGAGGGACAGGAUUGGUUGAAGAGGACGUCAUCUACUCCGCAGUGACCAGUCGCAAGAAGCCAAAGGGAUCACAUGACCACAGAUAGAGCGGCUCAUUUGAUUUUAGUAUAGAGAGCUGUAGGGAUGACAUAUUUUUGUAGGCUAUUUUAGCAUCGCCCUGGUUCCCUCAAUAAAAAUCCAAUAGGAUUUUUCCAUUGGAUUUUGGACUAUUGCAGAAAAUCAGCUCUGUGGCAAACAACCGUUUUUUUGAUACUUACAAGUUUUGAUCAGCGGGAUAAUAUUCACAAAUGAACACUUUUAUGAUUUUAGAAGCGUAAAUGCAAUUGCCAGAAGCAAUAAGCUAACGUUAGGCUACAAAAGAACUACAUCAUGGUCACAUGACUUAAACGUCACCACCACCAAGAUAAAGGCGGGCUUUUGUUGGGCGUGAUGUUUAGUAAUCUUAUUCAGGCACUUCUAAGCAGCCGCCUUCUUUAAGACACAUAAAAGCUUCAAAAUUCACAAGUAGGGUAUUUUAUUUUAUGACAAAACAUUAAACUCUCGCUUGUGUUAACCACAGACCUUACUUCAGGCAUCUAACCAAAAACCCAUCGACUUCGAGACGAGGGAACCAGAAGUGCAAAAAAGCUAAAUCAUUUCUGGGUUUCAAGACUUAUUCCUGCAGAGCUCUAUUCAUGUUUUAACAGAAAGAAAACUGAAUUAAUUUGAGAUUUCAUCAACAAGUUUUUAAAUACAAGUUUGACCAGUUUAUAAUAUGUGAUUCCAUUAAUGAUUAAAUUCAGUGUCAGGUACUUAAAACAUUUAUAUACAAAGGCUUAAAUUCUUAAUAUGCUGGAGAAACAAAAACACUGUCCUCUCUGUAACUGUAAUGUUUCUUUUAACUAUGAUAUAUUAUGCUAUUUCACUCAUCUUUUUUCAUAAUAAAAUGCAAUAGACAAUAUAUGUAGAAAUGAUGCUCUACUUUGCUUUUACUUUCAGAGAGUCUACAUUUUGCUUCCUUACAAUAAUUUACGUGCCGACUACACCGCAGAAGAAUGUUAAAAUGCUACUUUAACACUGUUACUGCUAGAUAAAUGCACAGUGAUAGAAAGUUUAAUUUUACAAACCAUAUAUAGAGUAAAAUGAAGCAUAUCAAGCAUCCACGGUCAUGUGUGUCUCACUGUUUUACAUAUGUAUCUGUCAACACUUUAAUAAAUACAUUCUGAUAUAAAAAUGCUCCUGUCAUGUUGAAUUCUUAAAACCCGUCAUUUAUUAAAUGCUUGUUAUACACAAACACGUCCUGAACACAAAUGUAGAACAUUAAAUUAAAAACAUUUGAUCAGGGUUAUUACUGAUAAUGACUUGUGCAAUACUACCUUCUGGCUCAUAUUUUCAGAUUCAAGAGGAACAAAGAAGAGUGAAAGACACUUUUUACGCACUGAUUUGAUAAAGUUGUUUUGGUGCUAAAACAGUUGAAUAAAUUUGAACAAUCUCCAAAUUUCUCAGGAAAAUCAAGCAAUCGUUUUCAUUGCAAAUAAUCUUUUACAAAAUGAAAUAAAAUACUGAAAACUACAGUGAGAUCAGUGAAUUACUAAUAAUAACUCAAAUUCAAACAGUCAAAUUUAAAAAUGGUGUUUAUCAAACCUUUUUUUUUUUUAAGAGCUGAAGAAAAUUCUUGUAAGUUUGAAACGUUUGUUUGUCAGUAAAACGUUCUAGUAGUGAACUUAAGCCUACAAAAAGAUAACCAUUAUAAUAGAAGCUAGCAGCCGGUUAGUUCAGCUUAGCAUAAACACUGCAAACAAGGAGAAACCUGCUUGGCUCCGUCCAAAAUCAAAAAGUACCAAAAUCCGCCGACAAGCACCUCGUACAAAAAGUGCCAAAAUGACAAUUGUGGUUUUGGUAUCAAUCUUCUCCCUCACAAGAAAACGAGUACGCCUAAUUCUCAAAAUGUUAAACAAUUCCUUGAAAUAUAUGCGUUAUGAAUGUAGUUCUUAAGUGUUGUUAACAAUAAAGUUAAGUGAAAAAAAUAACAAUACACAAUAUGUAAAUCAGUGUUAAUCACAUGCAUAUGUAUGGUUAAGAAUAAGGUUUCAUAUAUAAC